UACGAAGGGGGCUAGCGUUGUUCGGAUUUACUGGGCGUAAAGCGCACGUAGGCGGAUCGUUAAGUCAGGGGUGAAAUCCUGGAGCUCAACUCCAGAACUGCCUUUGAUACUGGCGAUCUUGAGUCCGGAAGAGGUGAGUGGAACUCCUAGUGUAGAGGUGGAAUUCGUAGAUAUUAGGAAGAACACCAGGGGCGAAGGCGGCUCACUGGUCCGGUACUGACGCUGAGGUGCGAAAGCGUGGGGAGCAAACAGG
rnacentral:rRNA from 1 species